AUCGAUCAUCUAUGAUCUAGUCUGUCUAUAGCUAUACUUACUAUUAUAGGCCUACACUUUUACAGUAUAUGAGUAUACUCAUACGAGUCAUACUGGCUAUACUAUAGUAUAGACACUAUAGUUAGUUACUUAGUAUAGUUAAUACUUUUUAAUAGUAGAUCUAUAAUCUAUCAAUUCUAUCUAAAUUAUUCUAAAUCUAGACUUCACUUUCACAUCACAUUUAUACUUAAAGUGACGAUACUACUUAUAGAUCUACCAGUUGAUAAACAUCAUCAUCAUAGAUAAUAAUCUACAUCUAUAAUCAUAGUGCCCUUUAUUUAGUCAAUAUAGUCAAGUCAAGAUAGUGGAAUGUAAACUCGAAGGUUUAAUACAAUACGUUAUUAACAAGUAGAACCAUGGCAACCAGUUCUGAUGAUGUACCAGAAUGGCUCAAGGAUCAUACUUAUACUAUUUCUACUCUCUGGGCAUCCAUUCAAUAUUUAAUUUAUGUUUGGAAAUGCAAGAAAAAGGCAUGCAUUCCUGAAAAGUCACUGAUUGGUUGCACCUCUUAAAGAUAACUUUCUGUUAUGAGAAAAGAUGAGAUUCUUGGACUCCUGCAUAGCACCACCAGAAAGGAAAAUCCCAUCAUGUUGCAAAAUAAAAGUCUUGGACCAAUUUUAAUUUAAGAUAUAUAUAUAUUAUACUGUAAGCUGUAUACAUAUUUAUGUAUAUCCUGUCAUUCAGCCAACAGGUUUGGAUUUAGUAUUUCUUUAAAUCUGUUUGAUAUUGUACUUGAAAACUAUUAAUCUGAGCCCCAUUAAAACAAGAGGGAGUGCAGUGGAUGAGUGGUAAGGGAAAUUUUACUUUUUUAAAAUUAAAAUAAGAAUCUAACAAAAGUAAACAUAUAAAAUAUGGUGCAUUCUCCUUAAAACUAAAACCUGGUGCAAAGGUUUAAAAUGUUGGCAAAAAAAAAAGCAACAUCAAUUAAAUAUUCUUAAUUCCCUUUGCAAAACUUACUGAGAAGAACAUGCAUGUUGUUCCCUCAUAAGUUUCUUGACAGAGGAAAUCUUGUUUAUAUUAGAUUUGAAGUAAGCAAAUUAAGAAAAAAAUUAUAAUCAUUAUUUCAAAUGGUUGUAUCUAAACCUUAUGAAUUAUUUUUCAGUUAUAAGUAUAUUGAAAUGAUUGGAUAAUCAUGAAAUUGUUAAAUAAUUGCUGCUAUCAUUCCAUUGACUAAAGA